rnacentral:rRNA from 1 species
UACGGGGGGGGGCAAGCGUUGUUCGGAAUUACUGGGCGUAAAGGGCUCGUAGGUGGCCAACUAAGUCAGACGUGAAAUCCCUCGGCUUAACCGGGGAACUGCGUCUGAUACUGGAUGGCUUGAGUUUGGGAGAGGGAUGCGGAAUUCCAGGUGUAGCGGUGAAAUGCGUAGAUAUCUGGAGGAACACCGGUGGCGAAGGCGGCAUCCUGGACCAACACUGACACUGAGGAGCGAAAGCGUGGGGAGCGAACAGG